rnacentral:misc_RNA from 1 species
UGCAACAUCAGGUCCAGUGGUGAAGCUACAGGGUACAUCAAGCUCCUGCUCCUAGCCUUCGGUUUCAGCUGUUCAAUGUUUGUAGGCAGAGUUGCUCUCUCAAGGGCUUUUGGAGUCCAUAUCUUUAUAUCAGUCUCAAUUCCACUACUAGCAAGCACAGUGGCAUGAGGAUGAGGUUCAAUGCAGUUGACCACAUGCUUAUCUGCUUCCAUUACACGAAUGAGCUCUCCACCCUUUUUCUUCCAAAUGAAUAUCCGACCACAAUCUGACCCGCUUACCACAUACUCGCAUCCAGGUCCAAAGAAGCUCACCCCUUUCACAGUCUCAGCAUUUCGAUGUCCUUUGUAUACUUGGGGAGUGGUUUUGUCAUCAGCAUCCAUAGGCACCAUUUCCUUUACAUCGCUGCCUGUGGAAACUGGAGAGGAUGGGUCUGGAUUGGAACCCAAUCCCAUGUCUCGUGUGAAAAGAUAGAUGAACUCGUCAUUAUAUGAGACUAGAAGCUCGCUCUGGUCUGAGAAUGACAAGCCUGUAAUUCCAAAUUGCUCAUCACCAAUCAAAUGUGGAGGACAAAAGUAAUCUUUAGGUUGACCAAAUUCGGUUGAUCCAUCCCACUUAUACAUGCGGACAUCAUAAACUCGAGUAUACUCAUCUGAUCCUGCAACUGCAAAGAGAUUUGGAUUCCUGGGAUCAAUUGCAAUUGCAUUUAGGUGGACAACUGGCAUGUAAUUCCUCCUAUCAUCAAUUGGUUGACAAGUAAAAAGUUCUGUAGCACGCCUACUUCUCAGAUCAAACUGAAAUGAAAUGAACAGUGUCAUGUACUGGUAUUUACCCAACUAUGCAAAAUCAGGUGAAAAUCACAUCACAAGAUCAAAGGACAUGGAAAUAGUAUAACAGAAGCAUAAUGACCAGACACUCCACUCUUUCGUUCGUUAAAGUCGAUCCAGGCUAAGAAUCAACCAACCAUUUGGCUUGUCAAGCUGCUAAAGGUGAGUGAAAAAAAGGAAAAGAAAAAUUAAAAGAAAUUGAAAAUCAGUCCUCUUUUCCAGUCCCUCUUUUGUGUUUCUAAACCUGCAUCCUUCUUUCAUCCUUAACAAUAAACCCUAAAAUAAAUAAGCACUAGCAAGCAUAUUUCCACACCUGUCCUGCUGUCCCACAUCACCUGAAUAAUUAUCAAACCAUUGAAUCACCCCCCACAAAUAUCACAUGAAACAUUUCAUGACUGAGCAACUGUUUAGGUUUUCAAACACACAAUGCUAUUCAAGUUCUCUAACAAACAGAACUGUAGAAUUGUCAACUGAAAUUGGAAAGGCACACAUAACUCACAUGUUGAACCAAUCCAUCCUCGCCACAAGUAUAAAAUAUAUGAGGGCUCCCAGGCUCAAUAGCCAACUUAUGAGCUCGUCCUUGGUGUUUUGCUAGCAACGCAGUCUCCACUGCUCCACGCUCCAGAAUCUGAGCAUGUCGAACCUAAAAUAGAGGUUAAAAUUUUCAUUAAGCAUGAUAUCAUAUUUGAGAUGAAGAUAGAUUAUUAGCUUGGUGAUGAGAUCACUCCCUCUUUGAACUAGUGUUGUUAAAGGCACACCUUAGGCUCACAAGGCUCUAACCUUAACGCUUCUACAGUAGAAAGGUAAACAACCUUUAAAAGGCACUCACCUUAUGCACCUAGGCAUGUGCCUUGUUCCAUGCACAAGGCUCUAGAAAGGCGCCUUAUUCACUUCCAAACUAGUAAGUUCCUUGGAAUAUAAAGAAAAAGCCAUUGCUUGAUGUAUCAUCUCAGGCUAAGAAGAUUUUUAGCUAGAAUCUACAACAGCACACUGAGUUGCAAAGAUAUGGGGACAUCACACUUCAUGUUCUUUUAAACAUAGGAUUACCUGACCAUCUGCAGCACAUGUAACAAUACUUCGAUCAUCUGUGUAAGGCAUUAUUUUGGCUUGAAAAACAUUGUUAUUAUGACCAGAAUGGAAAGAAAGCUUGAUACGCCCAGUUUCCCAAUCCCAGAGUAUGACCCGCCUGUCAUCAGAACCUGACACCAGAAUGUCACCAUCAGCAUUGAAGCUUACCGUAUUUACACAGCCUCUGUGCUUCUCUAGCUUCUUGUAUAUAUCAAGUCGCAGUACAAGAUCCUCAGAUGCAGCGAGACGGUGAGCGAAAUUCCGGCUGGAGAGGUCACCAACCUCCCGUUGCCAAACAUUAAGCACCGCUUUAUCAGCGGUGGUUCCAGCUCUCUUUUUCAUUAUAAAACGGACAAGAAUCAAAAUUGAAAGAGAUCGUAUCAAUUGGCGAACUAAGUCAGUAGAACAGGAGCAAGUCAAUCGAAGAGAGAGAGAUAGAGGAGGAAGACAUUGAAUCUGGGGAUCGUGGAGGUUCUGUUAUAGGAUUCGCGAGGAGGGUAUCUCCGUCUCCCUGUGCAAAGGGGUACCCUGUGACCACUCUGUAGACUAGGGUGUUGGCUUUCGGUUACUUCGCUGUUCUACCUAAAAAUAAAAAUCAGAAUUAAACCUAGGGUCAUUUGAUUUUUA